GAUGAAGAACGUAGCGAAAUGCGAUAAGUAAUGUGAAUUGCAGAAUUCAGUGAAUCAUCGAAUCUUUGAACGCACAUUGCGCCCUUUGGUAUUCCUUAGGGCAUGCCUGUUCGAGCGUCAUUUCAACCAUCAAGCCCCGGGCUUGUGUUGGGGACCUGCGGCUGCCGCAGGCCCUGAAAUGCAGUGGCGGGCUCGCUGUCACUCCGAGCGUAGUAGUUACAUCUCGCUCUGGGCGUGCUGCGGGUUCCGGCCGUUAAAAGCCUUAUUUACCCAAGGUUGACCUCGGAUCAGGUAGGAAGACCCGCUGAACUUAAGCAUAUCAAUAAGCGGACGA
rnacentral:misc_RNA from 1 species